rnacentral:rRNA from 1 species
CCGAGUUUACAACUCCCAAACCCAAUGUGAACGUUACCAAACUGUUGCCUCGGCGGGGUCACGCCCCGGGUGCGUAAAAGCCCCGGAACCAGGCGCCCGCCGGAGGAACCAACCAAACUCUUUCUGUAGUCCCCUCGCGGACGUAUUUCUUACAGCUCUGAGCAAAAAUUCAAAAUGAAUCAAAACUUUCAACAACGGAUCUCUUGGUUCUGGCAUCGAUGAAGAACGCAGCGAAAUGCGAUAAGUAAUGUGAAUUGCAGAAUUCAGUGAAUCAUCGAAUCUUUGAACGCACAUUGCGCCCGCCAGUAUUCUGGCGGGCAUGCCUGUCCGAGCGUCAUUUCAACCCUCGAACCCCUCCGGGGGAUCGGCGUUGGGGAUCGGGACCCCUCACCGGGUGCCGGCCCUGAAAUACAGUGGCGGUCUCGCCGCAGCCUCUCCUGCGCAGUAGUUUGCACAACUCGCACCGGGAGCGCGGCGCGUCCACGUCCGUAAAACACCCAACUUCUGAAAUGUUGACCUCGGAUCAGGUAGGAAUACCCGCUGAACUUAAGCAUAUCAAA